ACGCACGCUGGCGGCGUGCUUAACACAUGCAAGUCGAACGGAAAGGCCCUGCUUUUGUGGGGUGCUCGAGUGGCGAACGGGUGAGUAACACGUGAGUAACCUGCCCUUGACUUUGGGAUAACUUCAGGAAACUGGGGCUAAUACCGGAUAGGAGCUCCUGCUGCAUGGUGGGGGUUGGAAAGUUUCGGCGGUUGGGGAUGGACUCGCGGCUUAUCAGCUUGUUGGUGGGGUAGUGGCUUACCAAGGCUUUGACGGGUAGCCGGCCUGAGAGGGUGACCGGCCACAUUGGGACUGAGAUACGGCCCAGACUCCUACGGGAGGCAGCAGUUGGGAAUAUUGCACAAUGGGCGGAAGCCUGAUGCAGCAACGCCGCGUGCGGGAUGACGGCCUUCGGGUUGUAAACCGCUUUCGCCUGUGACGAAGCGUGAGUGACGGUAAUGGGUAAAGAAGCACCGGCUAACUACGUG
rnacentral:rRNA from 1 species